rnacentral:lncRNA from 1 species
AAGGUGUCACCGUGGUGGCCCCAUGGUGGCCCCAUGGUGGCCCCACAUCCCCACAGUGGCCCCACGGUGGCCCCGCGGUUCUUGGUGGCAUCACCAUCUCUUGGUGUCCAUCCAUGAAAGACCCAACUCCAUCCUUGACCAGGUGACGUGGCCCUGAGGUGGCCCCAUGAUGUCCCCAAGGUGGCCCCUCGGUGGCCCCACGUCCCCUUGGUGGCCCUGUGGCCCCACAGUGGCCCCACGGUGGCCCCACGGUUCUUGGUGGCAUCACCAGCUCUUGGUGUCCAUCCAUGAAAGACCCAACGACAUCCUUGACUGGGUGACGUUGCCCUGAAGUGGCUCCAUGAUGGCCCCAGAGGUGGCCCCAAGGUGGCCCCACGGUGGCCCCACAUCCCCUUGGUGGCCCCAUGGUGGCCCCACAUCUCCCUGGCCCCACAGUUCUUGGUGGCAUCACCAACUCUUGGUGUCCACCCAAGAGAAACCCAACUCCAUCCUCAACCAGGUGACACGGCCCCAAGGUGGCCCCAUGAUGUUUUUACUGGUUUUUAAAGGUUUCUAGCUGUUUUUUACUGGUUUUUAAAGGCUUCUAAUUGGUUUUUAAAGGUCUCUAGUUGGUUUUUACUGGUUUUUAAAGGUCUCCAGCUGGUUUCUAAAUGGUUUUUAAUGUUUUCUAACUGGUUUCUAGCUGGUUUCUAACUGUUCUAAUGGUUUCUAACUGGUCUCUAACGGUUUCUAACUGGUUUUUAAAGGUCUCUAGCUGGUUUUUACUGGUUUUUAAAGGUCUCCAGCUGUUUUUACUGGUUUUUAAAGGUUUCUAGCUGGUUUCUGAGUUGCUUUUCAUGUUUUCUAAGUGGUUUCUAGUUGGUUUCUAACUGUUUUAAUGGUUUCUAGCUGGUUUCUAACUGGUAUUUAAAGGUUUCUAAGUGGUUUCUAAUGGUUUCUAACUGGUUUUUAAAGUUUCCAAAUGGUUUCUAACUGGUUUCUAACUGGUUUUUCAUGGUUUCUAACUGGUUUCCAAGUGGUUUUUAAUGGUUUCUAAGUGGUUUCUAACUGGUUUCUAAGUGGUUUUUACUGGUUUCUAACUGUUUUAAUGGUGUCUAAGUGGUUUCUAGCCGGUUUUUAAUGGUUUCUAACUGUUUUCAUGGUUUCUAAUUGGUUUCUAACUGGUUUCCAAGUGGUUUUUAAUGGUUUCUAACUGGUUUAAUGGUUUCUAACUGGUUUCCAAGUGGUUUCUAACUGGUUUCCAAGUGGUUUUUAAUGGUUUCUAACUGGUUUUUAAUGGUUUCUAACUGGUUUUUCAUGGUUUCUAACUGGUUUUUCAUGGUUUCUAACUGGUUUCCAAGUGGUUUUUAAUGGUUUCUAACUGUUUUAAUGGUUUCUAACUGUUUUAAUGGUUUCUAACUGGUUUCUAGCUGGUUUCUAACUGGUUUUUCAUGGUUUCUAACUGGUUUUUCAUGGUUUCUAACUGGUUUCUAAGUGGUUUUUAAUGUUUUUUAAGUAGUUUCUAGCUGGUUUCUAACUGUUUUAAUGGUUUCUAACUGGUUUCUAGCUGGUUUCUA